rnacentral:snRNA from 1 species
CACCCGAAACCACGAGGAGGAGACGCAGCGUUCUCUCCUGAGCGUGAAACCGGCUUUUGGUGUUGCUUCUGCAGCUGCUAUUAGCCAUUGAUGAUCGUUCUUCUUUUCCUUUUUGGAGAUGAAGAGGGAGAGGACGUAGUCUGA